rnacentral:rRNA from 1 species
CAAUAGCGUAUAUUAAAGUUGUUGCGGUUAAAAAGCUCGUAGUUGGAUUUCUGUUGGGAACGACCGGUCCGCCCAUUGGGUGUGUAUCUGGCUUGUUCUCGGCAUCUUCUUGGUGAACGUUGCUGCACUUGACUGUGUGGAGCGCUACCCAGGACUUUUACUUUGAGGAAAUUAGAGUGUUUCAAGCAGGCAUAUGCCUUGAAUACAUUAGCAUGGAAUAAUAAGAUAGGACCUCGGUUCUAUUUUGUUGGUUUCUAGAGCUGAGGUAAUGAUUAAUAGGGAUAGUUGGGGGCAUUCGUAUUUAACGGUCAGAGGUGAAAUUCUUGGAUUUGUUAAAGACGGACUACUGCGAAAGCAUUUGCCAAGGAUGUUUUCAUUGA